UACAGAGGAUGCGAGCGUUAAUCGGAAUUACUGGGCGUAAAGCGCACGUAGUCGGCUUUGCAAGUCGGGUGUGAAAUCCCCGGGCUCAACCUGGGAACUGCAUCCGAGACUGCAUUGCUAGAGUAUGGGAGAGGGAAGCGGAAUUUCUGGUGUAGCAGUGAAAUGCGUAGAUAUCAGAAGGAACAUCAGUGGCGAAGGCGGCUUCCUGGACCAAUACUGACGAUCAGGUGCGAAAGCGUGGGGAGCAAACAGG
rnacentral:rRNA from 1 species